rnacentral:rRNA from 1 species
CAGUCGCCGCGGUAAAACGAAGGGUGCAAGCGUUAAUCGGAAUUACUGGGCGUAAAGCGCACGCAGGCGGUUUGUUAAGUCAGAUGUGAAAUCCCCGAGCUUAACUUGGGAACUGCAUUUGAAACUGGCAAGCUAGAGUCUUGUAGAGGGGGGUAGAAUUCCAGGUGUAGCGGUGAAAUGCGUAGAGAUCUGGAGGAAUACCGGUGGCGAAGGCGGCCCCCUGGACAAAGACUGACGCUCAGGUGCGAAAGCGUGGGGAGCAAACAGGAUUAGAUACCCCAGUAGUCCCUGUCUCUUAUAC